UACGAAGGGGGCUAGCGUUGUUCGGAAUUACUGGGCGUAAAGCGCGCGCAGGCGGUCUUCCAAGUCAGUGGUGAAAGCCUGGAGCUCAACUCCAGAACUGCCAUUGAAACUGUUAGACUUGAGUACGAGAGAGGUGAGUGGAAUUCCCAGUGUAGAGGUGAAAUUCGUAGAUAUUGGGAAGAACACCAGUGGCGAAGGCGGCUCACUGGCUCGUAACUGACGCUCAGGCGCGACAGCGUGGGGAGCAAACAGG
rnacentral:rRNA from 1 species